rnacentral:rRNA from 1 species
AACGAACGCUGGCGGCAUGCCUAACACAUGCAAGUCGAACGAACCCUUCGGGGUUAGUGGCGCACGGGUGCGUAACGCGUGGGGAUCUGCCCUUUGCUUCGGAAUAACAGUUAGAAAUGACUGCUAAUACCGGAUGAUGUCGCAAGACCAAAGAUUUAUCGGCAAAGGAUGAACCCGCGUAGGAUUAGCUAGUUGGUGGGGUAAAGGCCUACCAAGGCGACGAUCCUUAGCUGGUCUGAGAGGAUGAUCAGCCACACUGGGACUGAGACACGGCCCAGACUCCUACGGGAGGCAGCAGUGGGGAAUAUUGGACAAUGGGCGAAAGCCUGAUCCAGCAAUGCCGCGUGAGUGAUGAAGGCCUUCGGGUUGUAAAGCUCUUUUACCAGGGAUGAUAAUGACAGUACCUGGAGAAUAAGCUCCGGCUAACUCCGUGCCAGCAGCCGCCGUAAGAC